CCUUGCCAACCCAUAAGGGUUUGAUAGCCUCAUCCUUCCAAAGCCUAUCAAACCCUGCCGCGUCAGCAUCAUCGCACCACCUGUCAGCCACUGCAUUGCUCCAAAAGGCUGCAACGGUGGGUGCAACUCAGACAGCGGGUCACAGUCACAUGACCCAAUUGGAUAUGGGCGAAUUGGGGGCGGUGAGUCAGGCUGCGGCUGACUCAGUGAGUCAAAUCUCCCAUCAGGGUUCUUACCUGGGCAAUCUGGCCGCGUGGCAGAAGAAUGACCGU
rnacentral:misc_RNA from 1 species